rnacentral:lncRNA from 1 species
UUGUGAGCUGCAAGCUAGGCUGCAGGCCCAGGAAGAACAGCAUCAGGAAGUCCAGAAGGCAAAAGAAGCAGACAUAGAGAAGCUGAACCAGGCCUUGUGCUUGCGCUACAAGAAUGAAAAGGAGCUCCAGGAAGUGAUACAGCAGCAGAAUGAGAAGAUCCUAGAACAGAUAGACAAGAGUGGCGAGCUCAUAGUAUGUUCACCAUCAUGCCCAGGCCUUUGCCUUCUGUGUUACUGGUCAGCCAGGAUCCCAAGUAUGAGAAAUGGUUUGCUUUUGUUCACCACAUGUUGUCUAUCCUUAUGUCCUAUUGGACACCUCUCCAUUCUCAUUCCCAGAGCCUUAGAGAGGAGGUGACCCACCUUACCCGCUCACUUCGGCGUGCGGAGACAGAGACCAAAGUGCUCCAGGAGGCCCUGGCAGGCCAGCUGGACUCCAACUGCCAGCCUAUGGCCACCAAUUGGAUCCAGGAGAAAGUGUGGCUCUCUCAGGAGGUGACUCAGAGUUAACAGAGGAGCUGGACAGCAGGUGGGGACCCCAGGCUGUACCCCUGUUGAUCUGGACAUAUUUCUAGGUGGACAAACUGAGAGUGAUGUUCCUGGAGAUGAAAAAUGAGAAGGAAAAACUCAUGAUCAAGUUCCAGAGCCAUGUAAGAAUGUCCAUGCCAUUCCAGGGCCAUUUCCUACCAUCGUUAACAAAUGCCCCGCCAUGUUUCCCCUGUCCUACCAAGUUUGCUCUUUUAUGCAUAGGACUUAUAAAAUCUGUUUGCUUUCUAGAGAAAUAUCCUAGAGGAGAACCUUCGGCGCUCUGACAAGGAGUUAGAAAAACUAGAUGACAUUGUUCAGCAUAUUUAUAAGACCCUGCUCUCUAUUCCAGAGGUGGUGAGGGGAUGCAAAGAACUACAGGGAUUGCUGGAAUUUCUGAGCUAAGAAACUGAAAGCCAGAAUCUGCUUCACCUCUUUUUACCUGCAAUACCCCCUUACCCCAAUACCAAGACCAACUGGCAUAGAGCCAACUGAGAUAAA